rnacentral:rRNA from 1 species
GAUGAACGCUAGCGGGAGGCCUAAUACAUGCAAGUCGAGCGGUAGAGUGACUUCGGUUGCUUGAGAGCGGCGCACGGGUGAGUAACGCGUACAUGACCUACCUUUAAGACUGGGAUAGCCCUGGGAAACUGGGAUUAAUACCGGAUGUGAUAAUACGUAUAGAGAUGUAUUAUUAAAGUUGAGGCGCUUAGAGAUGGAUGUGCGUCUGAUUAGCUAGUUGGUAGGGUAACGGCCUACCAAGGCGACGAUCAGUAGGGGGCGUGAGAGCGUGGCCCCCCACACGGGUACUGAGACACGGACCCGACUCCUACGGGAGGCAGCAGUAAGGAUAUGGUCAAUGGACGAAGUCUGAACCAGCCAUCCCGCGUGCAGGAUGACUGCCCUAUGGGUUGUAAACUGCUUUUAGCAGAGACGAAACGCCUUCAUUUAUGAGGGUCUGACGGUAUCUGCAGAAUAAGCACCGGCUAACUCCGUGCCAGCAGCCGCGGUAA